AUUUGGAUGACACUAGACUUAAUUUCAAAUUGUGCAGCAGCAGUGGUAUCAGGUAGUCGAAUACAAGAUGGAGAGGUAUAAAUGGAAGGAGUGAAAUACUCCUUUAAUAGCUUGGGUUGUUCUUCAGCCAUCUCGACAGGUGGAGCAAAUCUUAUGGUUCUAUAGGUACGGAUUUUGGCUCGAAGGGUCCUAAUAGAACGCUCUAUUUCAGAAUCAAAAGAUACUAAUUCAGGAGAUCUGGAACGACACCCUAGCAUACACUAAUACAUUUCUGAUCAGUCAAGUACAGUCAAGCAUGCAUUAAAAGAAAAACACAUCAAUUCCUUAUGUUUGCCCUAAAAUUACUAGACAGCUCCUAACUGGUUUGAAGAGGGCACCUAAGCCUCCAAUACGGUCUAAUGAACUGAGUUGACCAGGUA
rnacentral:lncRNA from 1 species